CGUUCAUAAGAGCUUAGGUUUCUAUGUUAGAGAAGAGAAAAUCAGCCUUUUAACAAAGGCUUGCAGCCCUAGGAACAUGAUUAAAAAAAAUCAAGUAGAAGUCAGAAGCCAGUAUCAUGCCAGAUGUCGUUACAGAAUAAGAAACCAAACUCAAAGAAAAACUUGAAUAACAGACCAAUACUAUAUCUCAGUCAUAUAGAAGCCAAACAUUAAAGGGGAAGAGAGGGAAAAGAGUGGACCUCAAUACAUUAACAAGAACUCAGUUACAGCAAGCUCCAGCAGACUAAAUCUGACCGGAAAAAUGGAAUAAUAGCAGAAAAUUGGACCUCAGGUCCCAUCAGUAACCUCGAAAUCAAAACAGAAUCGACCUAGGCUCAAACCGGAACUCUCUAAAUCAGUGGUCUUUGACUGAUUUUCGCGAGCUUGAUGGGAUUUUGGAGUAACUAGCGCCUGUUUCGAAGAACUGUUGCCAGAUCUCCGGUGAGAUUGAGGAAUUUUUGGCGCAAGGUUGAGGGAGAUAGCUGUUGUUGGAAUAAAGAAACCAAUGGACUUCAAUGGGGGUUCUCAUUUGGUUCCAACGACGUUGAUCUUUGGUCUUUGUUGAUGGAAGAAGAUGAAGUUCAGGCCAUUUUUUGGGUUUCUGUUCAAACGCUCAAGAAGUUGAUGAACCGGGGGGAGGGGGUGGGGGUUACGAAAUUUCUCUUCUGCGACGCUAGCGCUGCACUAGCCUCCCCUCGGCCUUUUAGGUGUUAGGCUAUAUAUCAACGUCCUAAAGU
rnacentral:lncRNA from 1 species